rnacentral:rRNA from 1 species
AACGGCUCAGUAAUACUCNCUUCAUUUGAUGCGGCANAAGAUAUCCACGCUAAAGUGUGGCUAAAAGCNNCAGUAAGANUGAGACCUAUCAACUANUUGUUAGGGUAAUGGCCUAACAAGGUGAUGACGGGUGACGGUAUCGCAAAGUGAUAUUCCGGAGAGGGAGCCUGAGAGAUGGCUACUACGUCCAAGGAUGGCAGCAGGCGCGAAACUUGACCUAUGUAUUAUUUAUGAGGCAGUGAUGGGGAGUUAUUAAGUGAGAUAUGAAGAGUAUUUCUUANAAUUGNAGGGCAAGUCGGGUGCCAGCNUCCGCGG